GCGAAAGAGCUCAAAGUCAAAUAUUUUAUAGUUUGUUUUGACUAGUUCACCUGCUGAGUAGCGAAGCUUGGCCUGCUUGCCAACUACUCAAUUUAAUUACGACACAGGAAUAAUUCGAAUAUCUUAUGUGACUGCUGUAUGUUUCAAGUCAGUGUAACCAUGAGGUUUACAGCGCAGACGAGGCGAUAAUUUUGAAGUAUAUUUUCAAUGUUCUAAUAUUUUUAGGAUGCAAAGUAUAUUCACUUGGAGUAGUAAUCAAGAUGUCAAAUUUUUGGAAGAUGCUUGAACAAGAUUAUGUUCUAUCCGAAAAGAGCAAGAGAUUUCAAGGUUUUCUCGGAAUUCCAAGACUUCUACAGAUUGGACUUUAUUUUCAAUGUCGGAAUCGAUAUAUUCAUAUUUUGCCGUGGUGGAAUUAUCACAACUUUCAGAAGAACAGAGAUGAUUACAGAUAUUUGAGCUAAGACAAGAGAUUUUUGGAAAACAAUGUGGAGAUGAGAGAGAUAUGCAGAGUAACCGCUAGUGAAUAAAAGCCAAAUUAA